AUACGUAGGUGGCAAGCGUUGUCCGGAAUUAUUGGGCGUAAAGCGCGCGCAGGUGGUUCCUUAAGUCUGAUGUGAAAGCCCCCGGCUCAACCGGGGAGGGUCAUUGGAAACUGGGGAACUUGAGUGCAGAAGAGGAUAGUGGAAUUCCAAGUGUAGCGGUGAAAUGCGUAGAGAUUUGGAGGAACACCAGUGGCGAAGGCGACUGUCUGGUCUGUAACUGACACUGAGGCGCGAAAGCGUGGGGAGCAACCAGGAUUAGAUACCCUGGUAGUCCACGCCGUAAACGAUGAGUGCUAAGUGUUGGGGGGUUUCCGCCCCUCAGUGCUGCAGCUAACGCAUUAAGCACUCCGCCUGGGGAGUACGGUCGCAAGACUGAAACUCAAAUGAAUUGACGGGG
rnacentral:rRNA from 1 species